GGAGAGAUGGCCGAGCGGUUGAAGGCGCUAGUCUUGAAAACUAGUGAUGUCGAAAGGCACCGGGGGUUCGAAUCCCUCUCUCUCCGCCA
rnacentral:tRNA from 1 species